CUAUCCAGUCACUACAGAACCCUCCCAGCGCGGUGCAUGGGGCGGUACGUUUCCCAGCAAGCCCCGCGGGCUGGUCCGCCGGCGGAAGCGGGUAUUAGCGAGGCGGCGCGGGUCGCUGCGCUUAGACAGACAGAUCCAUUGGCGCGGAGCGCGCGCCUGGUGAAGCUCAGCGCGAGACGGGCUCUAGCCGUUUCCGAGCCGCCUACCUUCUGCGGCGGGUUCAUGGGGCCUCAGGAGCUGGCGCAGAGCGGCGCCGCUGCCGUGUCCCCGGCAGCGCUGGAGACGCUGAAGCAGCGGGCGGCUGAGUGCAUCGAGCUGAGCGCCGGGCGGCUGAGCGCCCUGAGCCGGGAGAUCUGGAGCCGCCCCGAGCUGGCCUUCGAAGAGCACCAGGCGCACGGCGCCCUGACCCGCUUCUUCUCCUGCGCCGAGCUGCCGGGGGCCGCCUGGGCCGUGCAGCCGCACUACAAGCUGGACACGGCCUUCCGGGCCGAGUGGGGCCCCGCCGCCCCGGCUCCGGCCCCGCGGCCGCUGCACUUGGGCUUCUUGUGCGAGUACGAUGCGCUGCCCGGGAUCGGACACGCCUGCGGCCAUAACCUCAUCGCCGAGGUGGGGGCGGCCGCGGCCUUGGGCGUGAAGGGCGCCCUGGAGAGUCUGCCUCAGCCGGUCCCCGCCGCUGUGAAGAUCACAGUGCUGGGAACUCCUGCAGAAGAAGGUGGAGGCGGCAAAAUAGAUCUCAUAGCAGCUGGUGCUUUUGAUGAUCUGGAUGUUGUUUUUAUGGCCCAUCCAGCACAAAGUGAUGCAGCUUAUUUACCCGAUGUGGCUGAGCAUGAUGUGACUGUGAAAUACUAUGGAAAAGCUUCUCAUGCUGCUGCUUAUCCUUGGGAAGGAGUAAAUGCAUUAGACGCUGCUGUUCUUGCAUACAACAAUAUAUCAGUUUUAAGACAGCAAAUGAAACCAACCUGGAGAGUUCAUGGUAUAAUAAAAAAUGGUGGCGUGAAACCUAAUAUCAUCCCUUCUUACACUGAGCUAGAGUUUUACUUGCGUGCCCCUUCACGGAAGGAUCUCACCAUUCUGACAGAGAGAGCUGAAAAUUGCUUCAAAGCUGCAGCUGUGGCCACAGAAUGCAAAGUGGAAAUCAAAGGUGGAAGGCAUGACUACUACAAUGUGCUUCAGAACAAGAGCCUGGAGAAAACUUACACCGAGAAUGGAAAAGAGCUUGGAAUGGAAUUCCUUGCGGAUGAGUCUUUUUUGAAUGGUCCAUCAGGUUCCACUGACUUUGGGAAUGUUACAUAUGUGGUUCCUGGGAUUCAUCCCUAUUUUUACAUUGGCUCAGAUGCAUUGAACCAUACCGAGCCAUACACUGCAGCUUCAGAUGUUGAUGAAGAACCUUUCUGCUGAUCAAGGGACUAUGGGCCAAAUUCUGCCUCGACCUAUACACCAAUAACCCUAAUGAAGUAACUGGAGUUGUAUUGUUUAUAAACCAGAGCAGAACUUAGCCAAAGCAGAUUUUUGGAGCUCAGACAGUGCUGCUAUCAUGACACAACUCUCAAGCAGAAUGAAAUAUCAUUUAAGAAAAGGUCCAGAUCCACGCUCUUGGAAGCACUUGGAAGGAGAGCUUAACUAUAGAAAGGAGUCUGUCUGUUCUCCUGAGGUACUGGAGGCCAAAGUCUGCUACAGUUACCUUGGAGUACCCACUGAAGGUAUUGGGGUUCAUUCCACCUUACACAGAGGUAGGAGAGAACAAUCUGGCUCAGAGAUAUUUUCCCAAAACAAAUGAAGUGAAAAAUAGACAGAACAAUAUUCCUACCUCCAAAAGCUGGCCUCAUGGUAAAAUCAUGGUCAUCGACUCUCAGAAGCUGAUCUGUUUUUCCUUUCCGAGUUUUGGUUAUGUCAUGAUUCUUCUUAUAGAUGUGGCUGUAAAAGAUGAACAAUAUGGCUGCCUGUCACUCCAGAUCUGCAAUCAUUGUACCCAAAGUGACUCUAAAAAGAUGACACCUUAGUGGAUGAGAGUUAUUUUGUCUUGCUGGUUUCCAUGUGAUGUUAAGGAGUAGCAAUAUGCAUGGUAGUUUUGUCUGAGCAGCUCCCCACUGCUGGAAUUACCAUGAGAGCAGCACGACUUCUGGGUAUGGUGGUGGGGGAGGCAGCAUGGAAGAGACAGGGAUGCCGUGCUGCAGCUACUAGCAUGGAAUUACCAUGCAUACAGUCCAAAGCCAUAUUUUUAAUGUCCAUUUCUAAGUCUAACAAGGUUUUCUCAGCUGCCAGCCCUGCAACUUCAGCACGGUCUCUGAGAAUCAUGCUGUGCUCUUUCUACUUCAGAUAUCAUUAUUGUCAAAAGGAUUCUAGAAUGAGAGCGUAGCAGGUAAUUUUACUGAGGAUGCUCAAGGUAGGCUAGGAAGCACUUGCUUUUCUGCUGCUACGUUGUUUCUUUUGUGCUGACUAUAGUAAAAAUAGGGUUUGAUCUAAAAACUAAACUGAUGUGACUUGGACUUCAAACAGGUCUGCCCACUGUCAAGGUGGGUGAGGUAUUAUCUUUUAAUGGAUCAACUUCUGUUGGUAAAAGAGACAAGCUUUCAGGCUACACCUGACCUGAAGAAGAGCACUGUGUAAUUUAAAAGCUGGUCUCUCUCACCAAGUUGGUUCAAUAGAAGAUAUUACAUUGUCUUGCUAAUAUCCUGGAACCGACGUGGCUACAACAACACUUCAUAGAGUAUCAAGGUGACAUUACUGUAGAUUCACUUUUUUUGGACUAUAUUUAUGCACUGUCAUAUGAUGCUCUCAGUCCACUGCACCAAUGGGAGCUGGGCGUGUGGAUUGGGGGAAGCUUGUUUCCCAUAAACCUUAGUACUUUAUACUAAUAAAAUCACUCCAUUCCCUCCAGGGUAUUGGUAUUGCAUUGUUCUCUCUCUACCUGAACUCCACCUUAAUUCUUAGUACUUCAUUGCCCUGUAUAGCAAAUGAGAAAAUGAAUUCAUUUUUCAUUCAGAUAUAAUGGAAUAUACCAUGAUCUAGAACCACAGUAAGGAGAUAGCAACAAGCCCCUGAAUAAAGGGCUAAAAAAAUUAACCAACCAGCAUACGUUGGGAAUUCAAGUGUAGUCCUGUCAGCUAACUGCCCCAUGCACCUCUAAGAGAAAAUCCGAUUCUGCAAUCACAACAGUUCCACACCAAUAUCAGAGGAAGGAUUAGAAUAAUUAAGAUCUCUGAACCCCUUUGCCCUGAAAGUGAGAUCUUAUAAGAUCUAAAUACUGCUGCAGUUAAUGAUCAGAGAGUCACUAAGAAAAUAAAAGGGGUGAGGCAGGACAGUUAAAUCCAUUUGUUUGGGGGGUCAUUAGCUGGUAGAGGCAGAACUUGAGUGAAGGAAUUAGAACUCUAUGUUGGCAAUAGUGAAUGCAAGAAAAAAAGAUACCAAAUGAGGAUGAGAAUUUCCAACAAAAACAGACCUUAAAAAUAAACACAUGAAUAAUCCAUUGAAAUCAGUAAGGAUCAGGUCUCUGGGUAGAAGUGUUUCUCAGCAUGUGUAUUAAAUACUGGUGUUAUCUGUUCGUAUACAAAGUUAAUAAGGGCAUGAUGAUGAACAGGUGGAAACACUGGCCAAUAGUCUGUGCUCAGUUACAGAUGUGUGCAACUCCAUGGGUGUUAACUGAGUUGCACUCUUAUUAAAAUCAGCUAUGCUACUAGAGGGUACCAAGUGUUGCACCUAUUUUGAAAAAGGCUGUAGGGCUGAUCUAGGGAAUUAUAAGCCUUACUUCAUUGGGGAUAUAUUAGCUGAAAUAAUAAUUAUAAACAGAACUAUUAAACAGUGAGAUGAACAUUAUAUGAUAGAGCCAACCCAGCAUGGCUUCUGUAAAAGAAAAGGGUGCAUCUCUCUAAUAUGUUAAAGUUCUUUAAGUCAACAAAAUAGCAAAUUAAAGAGAACAGCUAAUAAAAUUGAUUUGGGUUUUCAAAAAGCCUUUGAUAAAGUCUCUCACCAAAGGGGUGUAUUAAGGAAAUUAAGCAAUCAUGGGGUGAGGUGUAAAAUACUGUUAUGGAUUGGUAACUAGUUAAGAGGCAGAAACAAAGAAAGGUCAGCAAUAGGGUGGCCCAAGAUCUGUACUAGGACCAGUGUUGUACAACACCUUUAUUAAUUACUUGUAGAAAAGGUGAACAGAGAGGUGGCAAAAUUUGUAGUUGACUUGAAAUUAUUAAAUUACUCAUGAUUAAAGAAUUUGGUGAGGAACUUCAGGACAACCAAACAAAGUGGGUAGCACAGUGGCACGUGGAAACUGGUUUUAGGCAAGCAGCAGACAGCAUUAAUUUGAUUAAUUUAAUGUACUCCUCUCUACAUACAUGCACAUCAUACAUCAUUUGAAAUCUUAUUAUGUCUAUUUUAAGGUGAGGUAUGAUGUGGAGCUGUCAAGUGGUGCUAUUACCAAAGAAACAGGGAUAUACAGUGACACCAUCAACAUUUUAAAAAUGAUCAUUUUAAGCUACCAGAAAUGAAUGAAAAUAUUUCUAUGACUCUAUGUAUUA